CCUUGCCAGCCCGCUCAGAAACUCAAAGGAAUUGACGGGGGCCCGGCACAAGCGGAGGAGCAUGUGGUUUAAUUUCGAUGAUACGCGAGGAACCUUACCUGGGCUCGAACGUAAGAUGACUGUAGGUGAAAGCUUACAUCUCUUCGGAGCAUUUUACGAGGUGCUGCAUGGUUGUCGUCAGCUCGUGCCGUGAGGUGUCGGGUUAAGUCCCAUAACGAGCGCAACCCCUACCUUUAGUUGCCAUCAGGUUAAGCUGGGGACUCUAAAGGAACUGCCUACGCAAGUAGUGAGGAAGGCGGGGAUGACGUCAAAUCAGCACGGCCCUUACGUCCAGGGCUACACACGUGCUACAAUGGCCGAUACAGAGGGCAGCUACCUGGUGACAGGAUGCAAAUCUCCAAAGUCGGUCUCAGUUCGGAUCGGAGUCUGCAACCCGACUCCGUGAAGUUGGAUUCGCUAGUAAUCGCGCAUCAGCCAUGGCGCGGUGAAUACGUUCCCGGGCCUU
rnacentral:rRNA from 1 species